rnacentral:antisense_RNA from 1 species
CUUUAUGGCGGGCCGUGCGGGCAACCCUCGGGUUGGCCGGUUCCUUUGUCCCGGUAUUGCUACCCCGCAUAGCCCGCCGCCCUU